UCUUUGCUAGUAUAUCGGUUAGUACACGCGCCUGUCAUUUCUAAAAACGCGCGAAAGCUGGGUUCGACUCCCAGGCAAAGAG